GAUGAAGAACGUAGCGAAAUGCGAUACGUAAUGUGAAUUGCAGAAUUCAGUGAAUCAUCGAAUCUUUGAACGCAUAUUGCGCUCUCUGGUAUUCCGGAGAGCAUGCUUGUUUGAGUAUCAGUAAACACCUCAACUUCCAUAUCUUUUUUGAAAUGGGAGUUGGACUUGAGUGAUCCCAACGCUUUUCCUCACCGAAAAGCGGCGGGUUACUUGAAAUGCAGGUGCAGCUGGACUUUUCUCUGAGCUAUAAGCAUAUCUAUUUAGUCUGCCUAAAAAACAGAUUAUUACCUUUGCUGCAGCUAACAUAAAGGAGAUUAGUUCUUGUGCUGACUGAUGCAGGAUUCACAAAGACAGGCUUCGGCCGACUUUGUAAACUCGAUCUCAAAUCAAGUAAGACUACCCGCUGAACUUAAGCAUAUCAAAAGCGGAGGA
rnacentral:misc_RNA from 1 species